UACGGGGGGAGCAAGCGUUGUUCGGAUUUACUGGGCGUAAAGGGCGGGUAGGCGGCCACUGCAAGUCGGUUGCGAAAUCUCCGGGCUUAACCCGGAAAGGUCAACCGAUACUGCAGGGCUAGAGUGCAGAAGGGGCAACUGGAAUUCUCGGUGUAGCGGUGAAAUGCGUAGAUAUCAUCUGGAACGCCAAUGGUGAAAACAGCUCGCUGGGGGUUUGCAGACGCUGAGACACGAAAGCCAGGGGAGCGAACGGG
rnacentral:rRNA from 1 species